CUUGGUCAUUUAGAGGAAGUAAAAGUCGUAACAAGGUUUCCGUAGGUGAACCUGCGGAAGGAUCAUUAAAGUAACUCCCCUGUUCUUGAGCAGGGUGCUACUCAACCCGUGUAUAYCUUACCUUUGUUGCUUUGGCAGGCCGCCUUCGGGCGUUGGCUCCGGUUGACAGCGCUUGCCAGAGGACCCAAACUCUUUUGUUUAGUGAUGUCUGAGUACUAUAUAAUAGUUAAAACUUUCAACAACGGAUCUCUUGGUUCUGGCAUCGAUGAAGAACGCAGCGAAAUGCGAUAAGUAAUGUGAAUUGCAGAAUUCAGUGAAUCAUCGAAUCUUUGAACGCACAUUGCGCCCCUUGGUAUUCCGAGGGGCAUGCCUGUUCGAGCGUCAUUAUGACCACUCAAGCCUAGCUUGGUAUUGAGGUUCGCGGUCUCGCGGCCCCUAAAAUCAGUGGCGGUGCUGUCUGGCUCUAAGCGUAGUAAUUUUCUCGCUAUGGGGUCCGGACAGUUACUUGCCAAAACCCCAACUUCUCACGGUUGACCUCGGAUCAGGUAGGGAUACCCGCUGAACUUAAGCAUAUCAAUAAGCGGAGGA
rnacentral:rRNA from 1 species